UACGUAGGGCGCAAGCGUUGUCCGGAAUUAUUGGGCGUAAAGAGCUCGUAGGCGGUCUGUCGCGUCGGCUGUGAAAUCCCGGAGCUCAACUCCGGGCCUGCAGUCGAUACGGGCAAACUGGAGUGUUGCAGGGGAGACUGGAAUUCCUGGUGUAGCGGUGAAAUGCGCAGAUAUCAGGAGGAACACCGGUGGCGAAGGCGGGUCUCUGGGCAACAACUGACGCUGAGGAGCGAAAGCGUGGGGAGCGAACAGG
rnacentral:rRNA from 1 species